UACAGAGGUCUCAAGCGUUGUUCGGAUUUAUUGGGCGUAAAGGGUGCGUAGGCGGCCAUGUAAGUUGGAUGUGAAAUCCUGGGGCUUAACCUCAGAAUUGCAUUCAAUACUGCGUUGCUUGAGCGCUGUAGAGGAGAUUGGAAUUUACGGUGUAGCAGUGAAAUGCGUAGAUAUCGUAAGGAAGACCAGUGGCGAAGGCGAAUCUCUGGGCAGCUGCUGACGCUGAGGCACGAAGGCCAGGGGAGCAAACGGG
rnacentral:rRNA from 1 species